rnacentral:rRNA from 1 species
GAUGAACGCUGGCGGCGUGCCUAAUACAUGCAAGUCGAGCGAACGGACGAGAAGCUUGCUUCUCUGAUGUUAGCGGCGGAAGGGUGAGUAACACGUGGAUAACCUACCUAUAAGACUGGGAUAACUUCGGGAAACCGGAGCUAAUACCGGAUGAUAUUUUGAACCGCAUGGUUCAAAAGUGAAAGACGGUCUUGCUGUCACUUAUAGAUGGAUCCGCGCUGCAUUAGCUAGUUGGUAAGGUAACGGCUUACCAAGGCAACGAUGCAUAGCCGACCUGAGAGGGUGAUCGGCCACACUGGAACUGAGACACGGUCCAGACUCCUACGGGAGGCAGCAGUAGGGAAUUUUCCGCAAUGGGCGAAAGCCUGACGGAGCAACGCCGCGUGAGUGAUGAAGGUCUUCGGAUCGUAAAACUCUGUUAUUAGGGAAGAACAUAUGUGUAAGUAACUGUGCACAGCUUGACGGUACCUAAUCAGAAAGCCACGGCUAACUACGUG